GGGUGGCGGGUGUCUUGAAUAGCAGAAUUGCAGAGUACGCCGGGUUCAGGUUCUCUCCAGGUCUAUUCAGCAUACAACCUCAUUCAUCAUUUCUGUCCCUUUUCAGUCUGGCUGCGUAGGACUCAGUGGGAUCUCAGCGUAACAAGAGAACAAAGUCCCGCCAACAUUUUCCACUCUGAGGACAGCAUAUAGGAAUAAUCAGAAGAUUGGGAAUGACAUUGAACGUGCUAAAUUUUAUAUGACUGAUUUGCCUGUGGAAGGGCCUGACUGGCAUCCCUCAAGAUAUAGCUAACCACAAAAAACAAGCAAAAUUGACUGAAAGAGUUACACUGGAACUAAAGGAACAACUCCUCCACCAUUCUGCUAUUUCUUGCACUCCCUCCAAGUCACUGACAUACUACAGUCCUAUCAGAAGCACAAGAUGCAUAUUACCUUGCUCAUCUAAAGCUCAUCAAAACCAAAGCUGGGAGAAAACAACUUUCUUGGUGCUAUCUGGUGGCAAGUGCUGUGCUACACCUAUUGAAACGCACCUCUUUCCAUCUCAUACAGAGAACAGCAACACAAGCUGACCUAAUUUUAUCACUAGUGAGCGGGGGAAAAAAAAGCAGGGAAGCAGUAUCAUCUGCAACUUGCAGAGAGGGAAAUAAAGGAAGAAACUCAGCCAAGAUAACUCAAUGGAGGAGGGAACAGAAUUUUUGUCUUUCAAAUAUUCUUCAAGCACCCGAAACCAGAGGUGAGAUUGUGGUUCCCCCCCCCCCCCAAUAUCUGGACCUGUAAAUAGUCCUCUUGAACUCACUGAGAAAUUCAUUGUUCAUAUGGGUAAAGUUUUAUGGGUAAACAUGCUUAAGUGUUUGCAGGAGAAGGGUCAGUAAACUGUUGAUUCAUAAAUACAUCUCAAGAUCCAGAAAUUAAAUUAUAACACUUGCCAAGUUACGCUGGAGAGAACAUUGGGUAUAAAUCAUCAAUACAGACUGUAUUGCAAAGCAACAUAUCUGCAAGACAAAGGCAUUUUAGUUUUUCCAUUAAAAACAAAAAGCCAAAAAAAUAGAAACCCACAAUUACUCAAGCACAGUCAACAAAAUAUUUUUAAAAAGACACAUAUACAUUUU